GCGAAAACUUUACAAUGCUGGCAACAGCGAUAAGGGAACCUCGAGUGCCAGGUUACAAAUCUGGCUGUCGAGAUGCCUAAAAGCAUUUCAUAGCAAGGGCCGGGCAAGACCGGUGCCAGCCGCCGCGGUAACACCGGCAGCCCGAGUGGUGGCCAUUUUUAUUGGGCCUAAAGCGUUCGUAGCCGGCCUGAUAAGUCUCUGGUGAAAUCCCACAGCUUAACUGUGGGAAUUGCUGGAGAUACUAUCAGGCUUGAGGUCGGGAGAGGUGAGAGGUACUUCAGGGGUAGGGGUGAAAUCUUGUAAUCCUUGAAGGACCACCAGUGGCGAAGGCGUCUCACCAGAACGGACCUGACGGCAAGGGACGAAAGCUAGGGGCACGAACC
rnacentral:rRNA from 1 species